GAUGAACGCUGGCGGCGUGGCUAAUACAUGCAAGUCGAGCGAACAGAUGAGAAGCUUGCUUCUCUGAUGUUAGCGGCGGACGGGUGAGUAACACGCGGGUAACCUACCUAUAAGACUGGGAUAACUCCGGGAAACCGGGGCUAAUGCCGGAUAAUAUUUUGAACCGCAUGGUUCAAUAGUGACAGACGGUCUCGGUUGUCACUUAUAGAUGGACCCGCGCCGUAUUAGCUAGUUGGGAAGGUAACGGCUUACCAAGGCGACGAUACGUAGCCGACCUGAGAGGGUGAUCGGCCACACUGGAACUGAGACACGGUCCAGACUCCUACGGGAGGCAGCAGUAGGGAAUCUUCCGCAAUGGGCGAAAGCCUGACGGAGCAACGCCGCGUGAGUGAUGAAGGUCUUCGGAUCGUAAAACUCUGUUGUUAGGGAAGAACAAAUUUGUUAGUAACUGAACAAGUCUUGACGGUACCUAACCAGAAAGCCACGGCUAACUACGUGCCAGCCGCCGCCGUAA
rnacentral:rRNA from 1 species